UAAGGAAUAUUGGGCAAUGGAGGCAACUCUGACCCAGCCAUGCCGCGUGGAGGAUGAAGGUCCUCUGGAUUGUAAACUUCUUUUAUAUGGGACGAAAAAGGGUCUUUCUAGAUCAACUGACGGUACCAUAUGAAUAAGCACCGGCUAACUCCGUGCCAGCAGCCGCGGUAAUACGGAGGGUGCAAGCGUUAUCCGGAUUCACUGGGUUUAAAGGGUGCGUAGGUGGGUUGGUAAGUCAGUGGUGAAAUCCCCGAGCUUAACUUGGGAACUGCCAUUGAUACUAUCAGUCUUGAAUACCGUGGAGGUCAGUGGAAUAUGUCAUGUAGCGGUGAAAUGCUUAGAUAUGACAUAGAACACCAAUUGCGAAGGCAGCUGGCUACACGAAUAUUGACACUCAGGCACGAAAGCGUGGGGAUCAAACAGGAUUAGAUACCCGCGUAGUCC
rnacentral:rRNA from 1 species